UGUCUUCAACGAGUGGAAUAUCAAUAGAAAAUGUUCUUGAAGUCAUGAUAUCACUCUCUUUCGACUUAAAGAAAGAACACACAAAUGCGCAUAUAGUUUUGAAACUACGCAGACAUUAUAUUUAUUUAUACAUAUUUAAUCAUCAGUGUUCUAAAUUCCAGGUUGUUUGACUCAGCAAAAGCUCUAGCCUUUAGCAAUGUACCAACUCGUGAACAGGUGAAAGAUGCCAUAUUUAAAACUCUGAUAAGGAAUGGGAUGUUUGAUGACGCACACAUCAGGCUCACCCUGACUCGUGGGAAGAAGGUAACUUCUGGAAUGAGCCCAGCACUAAACCUUUAUGGAUGUACUUUAGUCGGUAAGAUACAUGUGUUUAUUAUCUUACAUAAGUAGCAUUGUCUGUGGCAUAUGCUAUGACAGAGUUGAGGCUAUAUAACUGUUCAGCUAUAAUGACCAGUUUUUAAAUCUUGGGUGGUCCGUGGGCAUCUGCAAUCCCAUUCCCCCUUCUCAUUUCCGAAAGAUCAUGUAUCUGAUGAAUGAACAUUUUCCAUAGAACAAGAGUGUAAAACAACCAAUUGAGACUAAAAAUCAUGUUCCACAUUUUACAUCAAUGGCAAAACAUAAGCUCUAUUUAUUUAUUUUUAUUUAUCUCCUUUGACUUCCUCCUUAACCAUUCCCGACGAGAAAAUGUUGAUGUAACAUAAAUUUAUAAGCUAAAAAGAUCUCAUCAAAUUGUCCAAAGAAUUAACGAAGUUGCACUAUGUUUUCAGCAGGAGAUGAGAAAUAACUUUCUUGGACCUUUCUGUAAUGCACCCGAUUCAUUAAGUUCUCGUUUUCUCAAAUAUGAUGGAACCUUGUUGAAAAGAGUUUAUUGAUAUAUUG